rnacentral:rRNA from 1 species
UACGUAGGGUGCAAGCGUUUAAUCGGAAUUACUGGGCGUAAAGCGUGCGCAGGCGGCUUUGCAAGACAGAUGUGAAAUCCCCGGGCUCAACCUGGGAACUGCAUUUGUGACUGCAUGGCUGGAGUGCGGCAGAGGGGGAUGGAAUUCCGCGUGUAGCAGUGAAAUGCGUAGAUAUGCGGAGGAACACCGAUGGCGAAGGCAAUCCCCUGGGCCUGCACUGACGCUCAUGCACGAAAGCGUGGGGAGCAAACAGG